rnacentral:rRNA from 1 species
AACGUAGGGAGCGAGCGUUAAUCGGAAUUACUGGGCGUAAAGCGUGCGCAGGCGGCUUUUUAAGCCAGACGUGAAAUCCCCGGGCUUAACCUGGGAAUGGCGUUUGGAACUGGAAGGCUAGAGUGUGUCAGAGGGGGGUGGAAUUCCACGUGUAGCAGUGAAAUGCGUAGAUAUGUGGAGGAACACCGAUGGCGAAGGCAGCUCCCUGGGAUAACACUGACGCUCAUGCACGAAAGCGUGGGGAGCAAACAGG